UACGUAGGGGGCAAGCGUUGUCCGGAAUUAUUGGGCGUAAAGCGCGCGCAGGCGGCUAUGUAAGUCUGGUGUAUAACCUCGGGGCUCAACCCCGGGUCGCACUGGAAACUGUGUAGCUUGAGUGCAGAAGAGGAGAGUGGAAUUCCACGUGUAGCGGUGAAAUGCGUAGAUAUGUGGAGGAACACCAGUGGCGAAGGCGACUCUCUGGGCUGUAACUGACGCUGAGGCGCGAAAGCGUGGGGAGCAAACAGG
rnacentral:rRNA from 1 species